rnacentral:lncRNA from 1 species
UGCAUGUGACUGAACGUACUAAGUAGCUGGAAUCUACGUUUUUGUCUAGAUUUCUAGAGGCAUUAGCACCUUCUUUACGAGGCUGAAUUGAAAAGAGAAGCAAGACCUUCUUCAGAUCCUGUACCUUUCAGUAGAUCCCCUGAGGGAAGAUGGCAAGGAGCUCAGCUGACUUCCAUCUGCUUCAAAGCAACUUCCCUCUGCUCAUGACUUUCCCCUGCUUGCUACUUCCUCUUGUAACUCAAGAUUUCCACCUCUUACUGGGAUAGAUCUCCAGCCCCAGAUAUUUCUGGAACACCAGCAGUCGCAGUUGCCAUACUGUAUCUCAAACAAGGAUUGCUUCUCAGAAUGAUGGCUGAAUUCACUGAACUAAAACACCAUUGCUAUUCCCAAGACUUUAGGGUUAAGAAUCUUGGACAGUCCCCAUCAGUAUCUGAAGAGACAUAAAGGUCAAGAAUAUGACCUUUGGCUGAGAAGGAACAGAACAAAAAGAGGGAAUUGUUACCUAAUAUGAAUAAGAAGAUAGAAUAGAGCAACUAGCUGUGCCUGGUGAUUUUAAGC